GCUGGGCGUGGUGGCGGGCGCCUGUGAUCCCAGCUACUUGGGAGGCUGAGGCAGGAGGAUCACUUGAACCCAGGAAGCGGAGGUUGCAGUGAGCCAAGAUCGCACCACUGCACUCCAGCCUGGGCAACAGAGUGAGACUCUGUCUCUA
rnacentral:SRP_RNA from 1 species